GACGAACGCUGGCGGCGUGCUUAACACAUGCAAGUCGAACGGAAAGGCCCUGCUUUUGUGGGGUGCUCGAGUGGCGAACGGGUGAGUAACACGUGAGUAACCUGCCCUUGACUUUGGGAUAACUUCAGGAAACUGGGGCUAAUACCGGAUAGGAGCUCCUGCUGCAUGGUGGGGGUUGGAAAGUUUCGGCGGUUGGGGAUGGACUCGCGGCUUAUCAGCUUGUUGGUGGGGUAGUGGCUUACCAAGGCUUUGACGGGUAGCCGGCCUGAGAGGGUGACCGGCCACAUUGGGACUGAGAGACGGCUCAGACUCCGACGGGAGGCAGCAGUUGGGAAUAUUGCACAAUGGGCGGAAGCCGGAUGCAGCAACGCCGCGUGCGGGAUGACGGCCUUCGGGUGUUAAACCGCUUUCGCCUGUGACGAAGCGUGAGUGACGGUAAUGGGUAAAGAAGCACCGGCUAACUACGUG
rnacentral:rRNA from 1 species